rnacentral:lncRNA from 10 species
CACAUGUAGAAUUGAGAUCAAUGAAAGAAGUGUGGUUUAUGAUGCACCAGAACAAAGGAAGCCUGACAGGCAACAGGUGUCAGAUGGAGAAACAGAAAGUCCAGCAUCCAUGUGUCCAUCAUCCUGACACUGACUGGGACAGAUAGCACAUUCACUGUGAAGUUUUCUUGGGUUAUUAGGACUGUUUUAAAAACAGAAAGACUGUAUUUACAUUAGCACUUUAAUGACACUGUAGCAGAAAACAGAAUUAAUUUAAGAUGGUUUUGCCUUCUGGUCAGGAUGGUUGCAGAUACUGGGCUGCGGAAGAGGGCAGGUGGCAAUGGAGCCAAUCGGUGGGGACAGGACUGCUCAUGGAGCAUUGAGAAGGAAGCCUCUGGGAAGAGGAUUCAGAACCAGACAAGGAAAGGACCUGAGGUUGUCUGAGCUCCACAUCCUCCAAGACCGAGUUGAAAUGUUACCUUCCUGAAGAGCCUUCCUGAUUCCUAAGGGGAUUGCUCACCUCUCGUUUAUGCCUCCAUUGGGCAUUGAUUACGGAUGGCGGAGCAACCAGGAGGCUUCUAAGGGCUUCAUCCUGUAGGCGAGAUCGAUGAGGCGCCCACUGUUCUCAUCGGCAGCACUGCAAUGGUAUUUCCCAGACCACACUGGUAGCAGGUGAGUAUUAGGACCUGGAUGAAGGCUCUGCAGUGAAGUCAGUGGGAGAAUCUCUGCCUCCAACACUCAGCUUUUGGAAAUUCACAUUUACAGUGCACAUUUGAAUCCCAGAGUCUCUGAAAAGGCCUGCUGUAAAUAAAUAGUUUGAUU